rnacentral:rRNA from 1 species
CCGCCCGUCACAUCAUGGGAGUUGGUUUUACCUUAAGUCGUUGACUCAACUAUUUAUAGGAGAGAGGCGCCCAAGGUGAGGCUGAUGACUGGGAUGAAGUCGUAACAAGGUAGCCCUACCGGAAGGUGGGGCUGGAUCACCUCCUUUU